GACGAACGCUGGCGGCGUGCCUAAUACAUGCAAGUCGAGCGCUCAGGGGAGGACUUUGUCUCUCGGACGUGUUGCGCGCAGGUGUGUGAAGCAUAUGGAUAAUCCCUCGUUAAGGCUGAGAAAUCUUCGGGACACUGGCGAUUACAGCGUAAAAGAUAUUGAUCCAUAUCGUUUGCUAAUAAAAUGCGGUUUUGCCACUACCUAAUGAUCGAUCCGCGCCUUAUUAGCUAGUUGGGAGGGUAACGGAUUACCAAGGCAACGAUUCGUAGCCGACCUGAGAGGGUGAUCGGCCACACUGGAACUGAGACACGGUCCAGACCCCUACGGGAGGCAGCAGGAGGGAAUCUUCCGCAAUGGGCGAAAGCUUGACGGAGCAACGGCGCGAGAGUGAUGAAGGUCUUCGGAUCGUAAAACUCUGUUAUGAGGGAAGAACAAAUGUGUAAGUAACUAUGCACGUCUUGACGGUACCUAAGCAGAAAGCAACGGCUAACUACGU
rnacentral:rRNA from 1 species